GACGAACGCUGGCGGCGCGCCUAACACAUGCAAGUCGAACGAGCGAGAGAGAGCUUGCUUUCUUGAGCGAGUGGCGAACGGGUGAGUAACGCGUGAGGAACCUGCCUCAAAGAGGGGGACAACAGUUGGAAACGACUGCUAAUACCGCAUAAGCCCACGACCCGGCAUCGGGUUGAGGGAAAAGGAGCAAUCCGCUUUGAGAUGGCCUCGCGUCCGAUUAGCUAGUUGGUGAGGUAACGGCCCACCAAGGCAACGAUCGGUAGCCGGACUGAGAGGUUGAACGGCCACAUUGGGACUGAGACACGGCCCAGACUCCUACGGGAGGCAGCAGUGGGGAAUAUUGCACAAUGGGGGAAACCCUGAUGCAGCGACGCCGCGUGGAGGAAGAAGGUCUUCGGAUUGUAAACUCCUGUUGUUGAGGAAGAUAAUGACGGUACUCAACAAGGAAGUGACGGCUAACUACGUGCCAGCAGCCGCGGUAAAACGUAGGUCACAAGCGUUGUCCGGAAUUACUGGGUGUAAAGGGAGCGCAGGCGGGAAGACAAGUUGGAAGUGAAAUCUAUGGGCUCAACCCAUAAACUGCUUUCAAAACUGUUUUUCUUGAGUAGUGCAGAGGUAGGCGGAAUUCCCGGUGUAGCGGUGGAAUGCGUAGAUAUCGGGAGGAACACCAGUGGCGAAGGCGGCCUACUGGGCACCAACUGACGCUGAGGCUCGAAAGGGUGGGUAGCAAACAGG
rnacentral:rRNA from 1 species